AUUUUAAGGAGUUAGUAUUUUAUGUGUUAAAUGUGAUAAGUAAAAAAGUGAAAAUGUGAAUAAAGGGAAAAACUUUUGCCAUAUAAGAAAAGUGCUCAAGUUUCACGGGAUAACCCAAAAAAAAAAACUGCUCAAGCUUCGUGGGACGGAGGGAGUAUCAUCAAUUACUCCCUCUAUCCCUAAAAUAACUUCCUCUUUUCCAUUUUGGGACGUCGCCCAAAUAACUUCCUCUUUCUUUCUUUCCAUUUUGGACACC
rnacentral:lncRNA from 1 species